rfam:Sphingomonas paucimobilis NBRC 13935 DNA, contig: SP662.
AGGCAAGUUAGGUGUUGUACCGGUACACGCGUCAGCGCGUUCCGGUACAACACGGUCCUUACUUGCCUCCGGCUCGACGGUAUCUUGGCUCUGCGAGGCG